UACGUAGGGGGCGAGCGUUGUCCGGAUUUAUUGGGCGUAAAGAGCUCGUAGGCGGUUUGGUAAGUUGGAUGUGAAAUCUCCAGGCUCAACUUGGAGGGGCCAUUCGAUACUGCCAUGACUAGAGUUCGGUAGGGGAGUGUGGAAUUCCUGGUGUAGCGGUGAAAUGCGCAGAUAUCAGGAGGAACACCGAUGGCGAAGGCAGGUCUCUGGGCAUUAACUGACGCUGAGGAGCGAAAGCAUGGGGAGCGAACAGG
rnacentral:rRNA from 1 species